rnacentral:rRNA from 1 species
UACAGAGGUCUCAAGCGUUGUUCGGAUUCAUUGGCGUAAAGGGUGCGUAGGCGGCGCGGUAAGUCGGGUGUGAAAUCUCGGAGCUUAACUCCGAAACUGCAUUCGAUACUGCCGUGCUUGAGGACUGGAGAGGAGACUGGAAUUUACGGUGUAGCGGUGAAAUGCGUAGAUAUCGUAAGGAAGACCAGUGGCGAAGGCGAGUCCCUGGACAACACCUGACACUGAGGCACGAAAGCUAGGGGGAGCAAACAGGA